GAUGAAUAACGUAGCGAAAUGCGAUAAGUAAUGUGAAUUGCAGAAUUCAGUGAAUCAUCGAAUCUUUGAACGCACAUUGCGCCCCUUGGUAUUCCGAGGGGCAUGCCUGUUCGAGCGUCAUUAUAACCCCUCAAGCUCAGCUUGGUGUUGGGGCCUGCUGCACUGGCAGCCCUUAAAAUCAGUGGCGGCGCCAUCUGGCUCUAAGCGUAGUAAUUCUUCUCGCUAUGGAGUCCUGGUGGAUGCUUGCCAUCAACCCCCAAUUUUUCUAUGGUUGACCUCGGAUCAGGUAGGGAUACCCGCUGAACUUAAGCAUAUCAAUAAGCGGAGGA
rnacentral:misc_RNA from 1 species